rnacentral:sRNA from 1 species
AUUAAUUAUAUAAAAAUAUUAUGGUUUCAAUUUAUAAAAGCUUAUAACAUUUAUAGGGGUGUCAAAAUGGGUCAAAAUUCAUGGGUCAACUCAACUCAACUCAAUCCAUGAACCCUAAUGAGUUAAAGUUUUUGACUCAAAUGAGUUGAUGGGUCAAAUGGGUUAUUGGGUCAAUUGGUUUGAUGAGUCAAAUGAGUUGGGUUGUAAUGGUUAAUGGUUUCAAUGGUUUACCCAAUUAACCCAUCAAGUUUUGUAAAAUUGAAUUAAACCAAGUAAAAUCUCUAAACCAAUGCCAAUUUAAGCUUAACCAACACAUCUAAACCAAUUUAAUAAAAUCAAUAUUUUUCCAAAUUUCUUAAAUAUACAAGCGAUGAAAUUGAGAAAAAGUAAACUCGUAAUUUUUCUACCAAAAAACAUAAACCCGUGAUUUUCCCGCCAAAAACGUAAACCCGUGAUUUUCCCGCCAAAAACGUAAAUCCGUAAUUUUCCCGCCAAAAACGUAAACCUGUAAUUUUUUUGCCAAAAACGUAAACCCAUGAUUUUCCCGCCGAAAACGUAAACCCGUAAUUUUCCGCCAAAAACGUAAACCGUAAUUUUCCCGCCAAAAACGUACACCCGUGAUUUUCCCGCCAAAAACGUAAAUCUGUAAUUUUCCCUCCAAAAAUGUAAACCCGUGAUUUUUCCGGUAAAAACGUAAAUCCGUGAUUUUCCCGCCAAAAAAGUAAACCUGUAAUUUUCCUGCCAAAAACGUAAACCCGUGAUUUUCCCGCCAAAAACGUAAAUUCGUAAUUUUCCCGCCAAAAACGUAAAUCCGUAAAAAGUGGAAGCCGUAAAUAUUCUAAGUUUGAUGAUAAUGAAUUAAUAAUUUAUUAAUAAUGAUAAUUAUUUAUUAUUAUGAAAUAAUAAUAAUUAAUUAAAUUAUUACUUAGAUGGGUUAACCCAAUUAACAACUCAACCCAUCAAAUUAAAUGAGUUAUGGGUUGACCCAACCCAUUUAACAAAAUGAGUUGGGUCAACCCAUAACUCAUUUAACCCUAAACUCAUUUGAUUAUGAGUUGAGUUGAGUUGGGUUACCCAUUUUGACAUCCCUAAACAUUUAACUUAGAGACAUAUUUUCCCUACUUUUUCCCAUCAUUUGAAGUUAAACAUAAAUAAAAC